rnacentral:misc_RNA from 1 species
GAAGAAUUUAAAAAUGAAGUUAUGUUGAUUGCAAAGCUUCAACAUAGGAAUCUAGUGAAACUUCUUGGAUGCUGUAUUCAGGGAGGAGAGCAAAUGUUAAUUUAUGAAUAUUUGCCAAACAAAAGUUUGGACUCAUUUCUUUUUGAUCAAACAAGAAAAUCAUUGCUUGAUUGGAGGAAACGCUUCAACAUAAUAAUAGGGAUUGCUCGUGGGAUCUUAUAUCUUCACCAAGACUCAAGGUUGAGAAUUAUUCAUAGGGAUUUAAAAUGUAGCAAUAUUCUAUUAGAUGAAGAGAUGAACCCAAAAAUUUCAGAUUUUGGCAUGGCUAGAAUAUUCAAAGCUGACCAAAUUCAAGAAAAGACAAACCGAGUUGUUGGAACAUAUGGGUAUAUGUCACCAGAGUAUGCAGUGUUUGGAAAGUUUUCAAUAAAAUCUGAUGUGUUUAGUUUUGGCAUCAUAUUGUUGGAGAUAGUGAGUGGCAAGAAGAGCACUGGGUUUUACCAAGAGGAUUCUUGCUUGAGCUUGAUAGGACAUAUGUGGAAGUUAUGGGAAGAGCAAAGAGUGUUGGAGAUGGUUGAUUCAUCACUAGAAGGAUCAUAUCCUCCCCAAGAAGCCCUGAGAUGCACUCAAAUUGGGCUCUUAUGUGUUACAGAAAAUGCUGUGGACAGACCAACUAUGUCAGAAGUUGUAGUGAUGUUGAGUAGCGAAACAGCUGCUCUUCCCUCUCCAAAACAACCUGCUUUCAUUUUCAGAACAUCUUGUAGCAAUGCUAUAUCUCUAGCAAUAGGGGAAGAGGAAGACUCAUCUUCCAUCAAUGAGGUUACAAUGGUUAGCUUUGUCACCCGCUAAAGAUUAUAAAUGUGUAUGUAAAUUGUAAUUAUAGACUCAAUCUAGUAGUCUAUUUGGGAAUUUCAGAAAAAUUCCUCCAUCAUAGGACUUAACUAGUCGAAUG